GGGGAUGGGGCUCCGUGGGUAGAGCGCUUGCCUUAUAUGCACAAGGGCCUGGGUUCAAUCCCCAGCACUACCA
rnacentral:tRNA from 1 species